rnacentral:pre_miRNA from 1 species
GGUAGAAUUGCUGAGCAGAUCUCCUUUGGCAGACUGCUAGCCUUCCUCUCAUUAGAUUAGGCCACAGUGAAUGCAUGUAGAUAGAUACAGUUUGCCAAAAGGAGGCUGCUCGGUAAUUCUCCU